GAGCAGAGGGUGCAAACGUUGUUCGGAAUUACUGGGCGUAAAGGCGCGUGUAGGUGGCAAGGCAAGUCGGUGUGAAAGCCCUGGGCUCAACCCAGGAAGUGCACUCGAUACUGCCUCGCUAGAGUCCCGGAGAGGUUGGUGGAACUCUCGGUGUAGAGGUCGAAAUUCGUAGAUAUCGAGGAAGAACACCGGUGGAGCGA
rnacentral:rRNA from 1 species